rnacentral:rRNA from 1 species
UCUCAAGAAUAAUAAGAGCAUUUGGUGGAUGCCUUGGUAGUUACAGGCGAUGAAAGACGUGAUACGCUGCGAUAAGUCACGGGGAGGUGCGAAUAACCUUUGAUCCGUGAAUUUCUGAAUGGGGAAACCCGGCCCUUUGGGUCACUGCAUAGUGAAUACAUAGCUAUGUGGAGCAAACCCGGUGAACUGAAAUAUCUAAGUAGCCGGAGGAAAAGAAAUCAACCGAGAUUCCGUUAGUAGUGACGAGCGAACGCGGACCAGGCCAGUGACAUUUAUAUAAUAACUAGAACAAUCUGGAAAGAUUGGCCAUAGUGGGUGAUAGCCCCGUAUAGGUAAAAGUUAUAGAUGUCCUUGAGUAGGGCGGAACACGUGAAAUUCUGUCUGAAUAUGGGAGGACCACCUUCCAAGCCUAAAUACUCGUAACUAACCGAUAGUGAACAAGUACCGUGAGGGAAAGGUGAAAAGAACCCCGACGAGGGGAGUGAAAUAGAUUCUGAAACCAAAUGCUUACAAGCAGUCGGAGCAUCUUUAUGAUGUGACGGCGUACCUUUUGUAUAAUGGGUCAGCGACUUAAUUUAUAAUGCAAGCUUAAACCGAUAGGUGUAGGCGUAGCGAAAGCGAGUCUUAAUAGGGCGAUUAGUACUAUGGAUUAAACCCGAAACCGAGUGAUCUAGCCAUGGCCAGGUUGAAGGUGAAGUAACAUUCACUGGAGGACCGAACCCACCUAUGUUGAAAAAUGGGGGGAUGAGCUGUGGCUAGGGGUGAAAGGCCAAUCAAACUCGGAAAUAGCUGGUUCUCCGCGAAAACUAUUUAGGUAGUGCGUCGCAAUACACCAUCGGGGGUAGAGCACUGGAUGGGCUAGGGGGUCCUAUCGACUUACCAAACCUAACCAAACUCCGAAUACCGAUGAGUGCUUUUGCGGCAGACACACUGUGGGUGCUAAGGUCCACAGUGGAAAGGGAAACAGCCCAGACCUCCAGCUAAGGUCCCCAAAUCAUGGCUAAGUGGAAAAGGAUGUGAGAAGACCAAAACAACCAGGAGGUUGGCUUAGAAGCAGCCAUCCUUUAAAGAAAGCGUAACAGCUCACUGGUCUAAAUAAGUCUUUUUGCGCCGAAGAUGUACCGGGGCUAAAGCCAUGUACCGAAGCUGAGGAUUUGCGAUUUAUCGCAAGUGGUAGCGGAGCGUUGUGUAAGUCUGUGAAGGUGAAUCGUAAGGUUUGCUGGAGAUAUCACAAGUGAGAAUGCUGACAUGAGUAACGACAAAAAGUGUGAGAAACACUUUCGCCGAAAGUCCAAGGUUUCCUGCGUAAAGCUAAUCUACGCAGGGUUAGUCGGCCCCUAAGGCGAGGCCGAAAGGCGUAGUCGAUGGGAAACAGGUUAAUAUUCCUGUACCUGUAGGUAGUGACGGAUGACGUAAAUUGUAUUUCCUUAUUGGAUUGGAGAUGCAGUGAAGUUGUCCCUGGAAAUAGCUCCUACGACAUAGACCGUACCCCAAACCGACACAGGUGGACAGGUAGAGUAUACCAAGGCGCUUGAGAAAACGAUAUUGAAGGAACUAGGCAAAUUGCACGCGUAACUUCGGAAGAAGCGUGACCUCUAUUAAGGCAACUUUUUAGAGGUGGCACAGACCAGGGGGUUGCGACUGUUUACUAAAAACACAGGGCUCUGCAAACACUUUAAGUGGAAGUAUAGGGUCUGACGCCUGCCCAGUGCCGGAAGGUUAAGUGGAGUGGUGAGAGCUACGAAAUGAAGCCCCGGUGAACGGCGGCCGUAACUAUGACGGUCCUAAGGUAGCGAAAUUCCUUGUCGGGUAAGUUCCGACCCGCACGAAUGGCGUAACGACAUCCCCGCUGUCUCCAAUAUCGACUCAGUGAAAUUGAACUCUCCGUGAAGAUGCGGAGUUCCCGCGGUUAGACGGAAAGACCCCGUGCACCUUUACUACAGCUUUGCAGUGGUAUUAGGGAUGUUAUGUGCAGCAUAGGUGGGAGACUUUGAAGCGAGGGCGCUAGUCCUUGUGGAGUCAUCAUUGAGAUACCACCCUUAGCAUUCUUGAUACCUAACCGAGGUCCAUGAAACUGGAUCCGGGACCCUGCAUGGUGGGUAGUUUGACUGGGGCGGUCGCCUCCCAAAUCGUAACGGAGGCGCGCGAAGGUAAGCUCAGGCUGGUCGGAAAUCAGCUUUUAGAGUGUAAUGGCAUAAGCUUGCCUGACUGCGAGACUGACAGGUCGAGCAGAGACGAAAGUCGGUCAUAGUGAUCCGGUAGUUCUUCGUGGAAGGGCUAUCGCUCAACGGAUAAAAGGUACGCCGGGGAUAACAGGCUGAUACUGCCCAAGAGUCCAUAUCGACGGCAGUGUUUGGCACCUCGAUGUCGGCUCAUCUCAUCCUGGGGCUGGAGCAGGUCCCAAGGGUAUGGCUGUUCGCCAUUUAAAGAGGUACGUGAGCUGGGUUUAGAACGUCGCGAGACAGUUCGGUCCCUAUCUGCCGUGGGCGCAAGGAAUUUUGAGAGGAUCUGACUUUAGUACGAGAGGACCGAGUUGGACAUACCUCUGGUGUACCAGUUGUUCCGCCAGGAGCAUUGCUGGGUAGCUAAGUAUGGAAGGGAUAACCGCUGAAAGCAUCUAAGCGGGAAACCCACCUCAAGAUUAGAAUUCCCUAUUAGAGCCGUGGAAGACCACCACGUUGAUAGGCCAGGUGUGGAAGCGCAGUAAUGUGUGAAGCUAACUGGUACUAAUGGCUCGAUUGACUUGAUUUU